CAGAGCCAAAUGGUCUUCGGAGCCGUUACCCCCGGCUUAUUCGGACGCCAGCUGUCUCGGCCCUGCGGGAUCAUAUAUAUAUCCCUCCCGCACUCACACUCUCUUCUACAGGACACAUUCUCACACUAGAAUCAGAGCGCUCCAUCAACGGCCUCUUCCCUUCCGAACGUUCGUUGCCGAAUUCAAACGCUAGAUAAUUACCUAGCAAUCGGAGGAAGAGACAGCAGAAUCGAAAGGAGUUUCUCGCCUGAUCCCGGUGAUGAAAAAUAGAGAAGAGAAGAGAACGACGAACUCUUAUGUCAUUGAGAUUGGUUCCGAUAACAGAGUGGGGAAGAACAAAGCAGUUGCUCUUGAUGAAGUGAUUGCUUGGGCAAAAGAAAACCAGUUGGUCCUGUCAAUUCAGGCCGGUGGGAGAUUUUCGCAUCUGCUAGGAAUACUGAUUUGCAUUUAGAUUCAUCUAAAAGAUCAAGGAAAAAGUACUCUUCUCCACUUUUUAAACAAUGAUGGCAAUCAAUUUGUUGAAAUCGAAGGAUGGUCCGAUUCAUGUAACAUUUGUUGUAAACAAUUUGGGAUGCAUGAAAUAUAACCACACAACGCACUAAGAUGGAAAUGGAGGACAUAGAUGGAGAUAAUAAAGUUGAGGUCAAGGAAUCCAACUCUAGUUGCUACGUUCAACACUCCAUCACGUAAGAAAUUAUCUGUUUGACAUCAUAAACUACCUUAUGUGUUGCCUAGAUCUCAUGAGAAUUACGUUAUUGGCAAUGUUGUGGUCCUACUAAUGUUAGAUUCCUAUAUUUAAUCUUUAUUGUAUCUUUGUUUUUUCCUUUUAAUGUUCCUUGUGUUCUACUGAUAUCAUGUUUUUGGUUCAAGAGUAAACGAUUAAAAUGUUAAAGUCGAAAGGGUUCAUGAGUAAGAAAUUAAAUUAGGUUUUUCUAUUUUAUGAGUGUUUUAGGUAGUUAGUAAAACCGAGUGAAAAGCCAGACUUCUGCAAUUAUAAUAAACCCCAUGAAUCUAUCUCAACGUUCCAAUUUCCAAAGAGACAAUGUAAAACUCAAUGAUCAAAGAAUUCCAUUUCAAAUCAAUCAAACAAUUAGGAGCACAUCAUUGGUCAUUACUUACUCCACAUUCGGCAUAAGAGAAACCGUGUCACAACAUAUAGGCGAAUUGCCCACAAAAGUUGUAGAAAACAGACAGACCUAAGUAACAAAACGAACUAGAACAAA